rnacentral:rRNA from 1 species
GACGAACGCUGGCGGCGUGCUUAACACAUGCAAGUCGAGCGAUGAAAGCCUUAUGAACUAUUCGUAGUGAUUGGGGCCGGAUUAGCGGCGGACGGGUGAGUAACGCGUGAGCAACCUGCCUUAAACAACGGGAUAGCCUCGGGAAACCGGGAUUAAUACCGUAUGAGACCCCGCCUUCACAUGAAGAAGAGGUUAAAGAUUAUCGGUUUAAGAUGGGCCCGCGUCUGAUUAGCUAGUUGGUGAGAUAAAAGCCCACCAAGGCAACGAUCAGUAACCGGCUUGAGAGAGUGAACGGUCACAUUGGAACUGAGACACGGUCCAAACUCCUACGGGAGGCAGCAGUGGGGAAUAUUGUACAAUGGGGGAAACCCUGAUGCAGCGACGCCGCGUGAGCGAUGAAGGAAUUCGUUUCGUAAAGCUCUGUCCAAGGGGAAGAUAAUGACAGUACCCUUGGAGGAAGCCCCGGCUAAAUACGUGCCAGCAGCCGCAGUAA